rnacentral:rRNA from 1 species
ACGCACGCUGGCGGCGUGCUUCACCCCUGCAAGUCGCACGGAAAGGCCCUGCUUGCAGGGUACUCGAGUGGCGAACGGGUGAGUAACACGUGGGUGAUCUGCCCUGCACUUCGGGAUAAGCCUGGGAAACUGGGUCUAAUACCGGAUAGGAGCCAUUUUUAGUGUGAUGGUUGGAAAGUUUUUUCGGUGUAGGAUGAGCUCGCGGCCUAUCAGCUUGUUGGUGGGGUAAUGGCCUACCAAGGCGGCGACGGGUAGCCGGCCUGAGAGGGUGGACGGCCACAUUGGGACUGAGAUACGGCCCAGACUCCUACGGGAGGCAGCAGUGGGGAAUAUUGCACAAUGGGCGCAAGCCUGAUGCAGCGACGCCGCGGGGGGGAUGACGGCCUUCGGGUUGUAAACUCCUUUCGCUAGGGACGAAGCUUUUUGUGACGGUACCUAGAUAAGAAGCACCGGCUAACUACGUG